rnacentral:rRNA from 1 species
GAUGAACGCUGGCGGCGUGCCUAAUACAUGCAAGUCGAGCGAACAGACGAGGAGCUUGCUCCUCUGAUGUUAGCGGCGGACGGGUGAGUAACACGUGGAUAACCUACCUAUAAGACUGGGAUAACUUCGGGAAACCGGAGCUAAUACCGGAUAACAUGUUGAACCGCAUGGUUCAACAGUGAAAGACGGUUUUGCUGUCACUUAUAGAUGGAUCCGCGUCGCAUUAGCUAGUUGGUAAGGUAACGGCUUACCAAGGCAACGAUGCGUAGCCGACCUGAGAGGGUGAUCGGCCACACUGGAACUGAGACACGGUCCAGACUCCUACGGGAGGCAGCAGUAGGGAAUCUUCCGCAAUGGGCGAAAGCCUGACGGAGCAACGCCGCGUGAGUGAAGAAGGUCUUCGGAUCGUAAAACUCUGUUAUUAGGGAAGAACAAAUGUGUAAGUAACUAUGCACGUCUUGACGGUACCUAAUCAGAAAGCCACGGCUAACUACGUG